rnacentral:lncRNA from 13 species
CCUCCAAAAAUGUCAGGAUUACGGCCAUGGGCCAGCACACCUAGCCCAGAAAUGUUCCUAAAAGUCUGAAACAUUCAGGCAAGUCUGAGAACUGAGAGGGACGUACAGGAUUGGUUUGGAAGCCAGAAUUAGGAUUGUCAGAGCUGGAAAAGCAGAAGCAAGGCAAGAGUGUGCACAGGAGUGGGGCAUGCAGCAGCUCCGUGGUAUGCCGUGUGUCCUCUUUUAUGGCAGGCCAGCUUCAGCCCAGCUCCAGCCCAGCAGAUGAGAAUCACCAGAUGGGUGGAAAGAGUGGAUUCAGGUUUGGCUGGCUGCGCCAGGAGCUGGGCAGCAAAAAAACGUAGGCGUAAGAACAUGUGUCCCAAUGAAAAUGAAGGUAGGGUAGAAAUUAUAUCAUUAAGUUUAUUGAAGCAAAUAAUUCCAGUUUACUCAUCCAGUGUCCCAUAUGAGAGAAACUCAGUAAAUGCUAUGUCAUGUUCUUCAUUUCUUUCAUUUGUGCCCAUUUAAUGCAUUAAAUCAAUGGGUGAUGCAACUACACAAGUAAAG